GCCAGAUACAGUGGUGCGCGCCUGUAGUCCCAACUACUGUGGAGACUGAGACAGGAGGAUCGCUUGAGUUCAGGAGUUCUGGGCUGUAGUGCUGAUCUGGUGUCCGCACUAAAUUCUGCAUCAAUGUGGUGACCUCCCAGGAGCAGGGGGCCACCAGGUUGCCUAAGGAGGGGUCAGAAGUGGAGCAGGUCAAAACUCCCGUGCUGAUCAGUAGUGGGAUUGCACCUGUGAAUAGCCACUGCACUCCAGCCUGGGCAACAUAGCGAGACCCCAUCACUA
rfam:Otolemur garnettii contig042358, whole genome shotgun sequence.